rnacentral:rRNA from 1 species
ACGCACGCUGGCGGCAUGCCUAACACAUGCAAGUCGAACGAGACCUUCGGGUCUAGUGGCGCACGGGUGCGUAACGCGUGGGAACCUGCCCUUAGGUUCGGAAUAACUCCCCGAAGGGGGUGCUAAUACCGGAUAAUGUCUUCGGACCAAAGAUUUAUCGCCUUUGGAUGGGCCCGCGUUGGAUUAGCUAGUUGGUAGGGUAAAAGCCUACCAAGGCGACGAUCCAUAGCUGGUCUGAGAGGAUGAUCAGCCACACUGGGACUGAGACACGGCCCAGACUCCUACGGGAGGCAGCAGUGGGGAAUAUUGGACAAUGGGCGAAAGCCUGAUCCAGCAAUGCCGCGUGAGUGAUGAAGGCCUUAGGGUUGUAAAGCUCUUUUACCCGGGAUGAUAAUGACAGUACCGGGAGAAUAAGCUCCGGCUAACUCCGUG